rnacentral:rRNA from 1 species
UACGAAGGGGGCUAGCGUUGCUCGGAAUUACUGGGCGUAAAGGGCGCGUAGGCGGAUAGUUAAGUUGGGGGUGAAAGCCCGGGGCUCAACCUCGGGAUUGCCUUCAAUACUGGCUAUCUUGAGUAUGGGAGAGGUGUGUGGAACUCCGAGUGUAGAGGUGAAAUUCGUAGAUAUUCGGAAGAACACCAGUGGCGAAGGCGACACACUGGCCCAUUACUGACGCUGAGGCUCGAAAGCGUGGGGAGCAAACAGG